AUGCUGUCCUGUCCCUUUUUAGGGGGAAAACUUGAGCUCUGCAUUGGAAGGUCAAGUUCCUGGUGGAGAACAUGGCAGGAGGAGGAGGAAGCUCAGCUCAGUGGAUGCAGAGUGGGAGGCUUCCUAUUACUGAUGUGUAAAGUGGGAAAACAGCAACUCUACGUUGAAACUUAACAAGAUAAAAAGGAAAACAGAAGAUAAUAAAUACAAGGUAAAAAAGUCUUUCA
rnacentral:lncRNA from 1 species